AAAUUGAAGAGUUUGAUCAUGGCUCAGAUUGAACGCUGGCGGCAGGCCUAACACAUGCAAGUCGAACGGUAGCACAGAGAGCUUGCUCUCGGGUGACGAGUGGCGGACGGGUGGGUAAUGUCUGGAUAACUGCCCGACGGAGGGGGAUAACUACUGGAAACGGUAGCUAAUCCCGCAUACAGUCGCAAGAUCAAAGAGGGGGACCCUCGGGCCUCUUGCCAUCGGAUGUGCCCAGAUGGGAUUAGCUUGUAGGUGAGGUAAC
rnacentral:rRNA from 1 species